rnacentral:tRNA from 1 species
GGGAUCGUGGGCCAACCUGGUAUGCUGCAAGCUUCGGGAGUUUGUGAUCCCAGUUCAAAUCUGGGCGGUCCCA